rnacentral:lncRNA from 10 species
UGUGAAUUCCUCUUUAAACAAAUACAAUAGCCUAUUUCCAAAAGUCAUACUAUGAGGCACAGCUGUCACAACAUCUGACAAAUAUUCACAGCCAAGGAUAUGACCUAGCAAGUCUGAAUGCACUUUCUCAUUUUUCUCAUAUUUUCACAUUUAUCUCUCCUUCAUUCAGAAGCAUUUGUCAAUCUGCCUCUAUCCAUGGCAGCCCUUCUUAUUUUAAUGUUCUCACUCUUACCCACAAACUAAAUUUACAUUUCUUGCUGUUAUAAAUUUUAUAUUUUUGUGUGUGGAGAAACAUUCCAUCAAGAAGACUGAAGCCCAGUAAACUCCCAAAGACAAGACUUUCAGAAGGUCUGAAGACAAGUCACAUCAAACCACUGACCUAAGAAAAAUGGAAUUAAUGUUGCAACUGCAUUCUCCUAACUUCUCACUGGACUUGAGAUGGCUGCUUGCUUCACUAUGGGUCCUAAGGUUACACAGGAAGGCUUCUGCCAGACACUUUCUGCCAGGUUUCCAAUGGCAGGUAUGGUCAAGAGAGACACUGGAAGAUGGAAGUUACUUCAGUGUUCCAGUUGCUGGUGUAGCCAGGGCUUCACAGAAUUUGUCACAGGUGGUUUCCUUUGACCCUUGAAACACUUCCAGGACCCAGUUUUUAUCUUAUAGCGUGGAAGUAUGGCAUCAUGAUGUCUACUGCACAUCUAUUCCCAACCCCAUAUUCAGUUGUUUCAUGUAGUCUCUUGAAAUCUAUGGAAACUAGAAAACACUACAAAUAAAGCCUUGAUUUAUUGUUUUGUUGAUUGUCUUGACUUAAGAAACUGAUAGACAAUGUGUUAUUAAUGCAGAUUAAACUUAAAAAUGUUUACCUCAGUGGCCGUUAUACUGUGAAUACCACAAAAACUGAGCAAAUAUUUUUCUAGUAUUUGAAAAGUAUUAUCCAAUUCAGCAAAUAAUGUCACUUUUAAGUGAAUAAAGUAUGGGCAUGCCUUCAUUGCUUUAGUUUCUUGUUACUUGUAAACACACACAAGUAUAGCAACCUAACAUUUAUGCUUAAACUAUACUCAGUAGUCAAUUACAAUCAUAGAUUAGCUUUGGCCAUAAGAGAUCAGCAAAAAUCAACAAAGCAUAUCAAUUGGCUAUAUGAAAUUUUCAAUGUGCAUUGUAUGUUUUGUUAUUAUUUUAAAAUUGUGUUAUAUUUUUUAACUUUAAAACUUACAACACAAAUAUGUAAGUAUAUGUGUAUAUACACAUGCAUACACACACUCACAAUUGAGGGUUUUUGGCGUAGAAGGAGACAAACCAGAGGUUAAACAUUUGCCAGCACAUCACUGCUGAUAACUAAGCUGCUACUGUAUAACAAAUACCUGUUGAGGAAUAUGUGUCCCACACACUGCCCAUUUAUUUUGAUUUGGAAUAGUGAAUUCUUUAUGUCACAAAAGCCUUCAUAUUAUAGAGGUUUCUAGGUGAAAACAUAUUUUUUAAAGUGCCUAUCAUUGAUGGUAAGAUUGGAGACCCUUUUUAGAUACCCUUAAAUCAGAUCUGAUAAAAUUUGACUAUCCAUAUGUUUUUUAUCCAGUAACAGAGGAUCAGUAACAAGUUUAUAAUUUGCUGGAAUUUCUUGAACAGCAAACAAAAGACAGUUUGAGUCCUGGGUUAGUUUAUAUUUAUAUUUUAACCAUUGAUAACUCAUUUUACUUCUCUGAAAAUGCAAAAUAAAGAAAUACACUAUUUUACUAGUUCUCAGACAUAACUGCAUAUCAAAAUCACCUCCCAAACUGUUCAGAUCAAGGGGUUCUGUCCCUCUAAUCAGAUCUAUGAAAACAGAAUUUCUGUAAGUGGAACCAACAAAUUGGAUCAUAGGAUGUUUAUGCCAGAUGUAGAACCCCUGUACCUCUAAAAGCCUUGCAGGUCAUGAAGUUAUAAUGGUAAACUGGCAGUAAGGAUGUGGAUGCAACACAUUUAUAGGAAUGGAUUGUCAAUAAUUUACCCAUUUCCUGGCUCAUAUUUGUUUCUUUGCAUAUAUACUUCUGGUAUAUAUGCUGUGACCUCUUACUGUAUUUCAUAUUCUAGUAUUUCCCCCAUUAUAUAAUCAAUGCUGCUAUAAAUAAUUAUUAACCACUUUUAAAUUAAAAAAUUAUAUAUGUCAGUAUUUCUAAAAUCUUAUGCAUAAAAUAUUUUGAGAAAUUGUGACAAAUCUUUACUAAAACCAAGAUUUUCUAAGGCUGAGACAGUCACUUUAUCAACAGCUUGGUAAUUAUAUGAAUAAAAGAACACUAGUUU